AAUAAAGUGCCUGAUAAAAGGAUUAUCUUGAUAGGAUAAAUUAUAUAUAAAUAAAUAUCUUUAUUA
rnacentral:tRNA from 1 species